rnacentral:rRNA from 1 species
UUGACCUCAAAUCAGGUAGGAUUACCCGCUGAACUUAAGCAUAUCAAUAAGCGGAGGAAAAGAAACUAACAAGGAUUCCCCUAGUAACUGCGAGUGAAGCGGGAAAAGCUCAAAUUUAAAAUCUGGCGGUCGUUGGCUGUCCGAGUUGUAAUCUAGAGAAGUGYUACCUGUGCUGGACCGUGUACAAGUCUCCUGGAAUGGAGCAUCAUAGAGGGUGAGAAUCCCGUCUUUGACAUGGACUGCCUGUACAUGAUGGUGCGCUCUCGAAGAGUCGAGUUGUUUGGGAAUGCAGCUCAAAAUGGGUGGUAAAUGCCAUCUAAAGCUAAAUAUUGGCGAGAGACCGAUAGCGAACAAGUACCGUGAGGGAAAGAUGAAAAGAACUUUGGAAAGAGAGUUAAACAGUACGUGAAAUUGCUGAAAGGGAAACGCUUGAAGUCAGUCGCGUUGGCUAGAAAUCAGCCUUGCUCUUGCUCGGUGUACUUUCUUGUCYACGGGUCAGCAUCAGUUUUGACCAUUGGAGAAGGACAUUGGGAAUGUGGCAUCCUUGGAUGUGUUAUAGCCYGGUGUCGCAUACGAUGGUUGGGAUUGAGGAACUCAGCACGCCGCAAGGCCGGGUCUCUGACCACGUUCGUGCUUAGGAUGCUGGCAUAAUGGCUUUAAUCGACCCGUC